rnacentral:rRNA from 1 species
UACGGAGGGUGCAAGCGUUAUCCGGAUUCACUGGGUUUAAAGGGUGCGUAGGUGGGCUAGUAAGUCCGUGGUGAAAUCUCUGAGCUUAACUCGGAAACUGCCGUGGAUACUAUUAGUCUUGAAUCUCGUGGAGGUAAGCGGAAUACGUCAUGUAGCGGUGAAAAUGCUUAGAUAUGACGUAGAACACCGAUAGCGAAGGCAGCUUGCUACACGAGCAUUGACACUGAGGCAC